AGCUUUGCACAGUGGCAGUAUCAUACCCAAUGAGGUUUAGUUGAGGCAUGACAUUUGCUAAUUGAAAACUUUUCCCAUGACAAUUUGGAAUAUAGUUGGCAUUGACCAAAAAAGAAAGUUUUGAAGAAAUUUGUUUU